GUCCACGCCCUAAACGAUGAUUACUCGACAUACGCGAUACACAGUGUGUGUCUGAGCGAAAGCAUUAAGUAAUCCACCUGGGAAGUACGACCGCAAGGUUGAAACUCAAAGGAAUUGACGGGGGUACGCACAAGCGGUGGAGCAUGUGGUUUAAUUCGAUGAUACGCGAGGAACCUUACCUGGGCUAGAAUGCUACUUGACGAAUCCUGAAAGGGGUUUUUAUAGCAAUAUACAGGUAGUAAGGUGCUGCAUGGCUGUCGU
rnacentral:rRNA from 1 species